ACAGCAGUCGCCGCGGGAAAACGUAGGUGGCAAGCGUUGUCCGGAAUUAUUGGGCGUAAAGGGCUCGCAGGCGGUUUCUUAAGUCUGAUGUGAAAGCCCCCGGCUCAACCGGGGAGGGUCAUUGGAAACUGGGAAACUUGAGUGCAGAAGAGGAGAGUGGAAUUCCACGUGUAGCGGUGAAAUGCGUAGAGAUGUGGAGGAACACCAGUGGCGAAGGCGACUCUCUGGUCUGUAACUGACGCUGAGGAGCGAAAGCGUGGGGAGCGAACAGGAUUAGAUACCCGCGUAGUCCCUGUCUCUUAUAC
rnacentral:rRNA from 1 species